AGAAGGGAGACACGCAGCCCGCGACCUUGUCAGAGCCCCGAGGAGACUGUGAAUAAUUCCCUUUGAGCCGCAGGAAGAAGGUUUCCUAUUGCCGGGUGGUGGAGGUGCGGUGGGGGGGAGACUUAAGGAAAAUGAUGUGUUACCGGUCUGGAGUUCAAGAGAAAAAAAAAAAAUCAGACAAAGGUGGACCAACGUGAUGGAUCGGCCGCAGAAAACCCACUCUGGUCCCCAAGUUUGUAAAGACCAUUUUUUUCCCCACUUCACAUCCAUCGAAAACAGAGAAACGUAAAGAAUGGGUUGUUUUCAUGGCUGAAGCAUGUUAUCAGUAUUCUGCCUCGGAUUUCUGCUUGUUUUUUUGGGCUCAUUUUUGUACAUGUAACACUUUUCUGCUGAAUGGAUGCAACUGUAUUUGAGACAUUGCACAGUAUUUUCACUGUUGAAACAAUAACGCUGCCACAUCUGUCUUAAAGUACAAGACAAAUUGAACAUACCAUAUCCUUUCAAUCUAAAGCAUUAUUCAUCACUUGGAGGCAGAGCCUAAAACUGCUAAGCAUGAAGUAGCAGACAUGAGAAAUUAUAUUCCUGUCCUCUCAAAUAUAUUUCACUUGGCAUACUGUGAGCAAAGCUCUCCAAGUGGUGUCAACGCCAAGUAGCAAAGCUGUAGAAAUGACCUCAAAGAUACUGCUUAAGAAAAACGAUGCCAUCUAAGAGCUGAUAAGAGCUACAAGCAUUGGAAUGGAUCAAUCGUGCAAAAGGAAGAGCACUCAGUCAUGGGUACUGUUUAAUUAAUGAUGGUGGCUAGAGAUAGGCUGUUCACUCCAUAUUGUCAGUCAGACACUGACUGCACAGGGUGGCAAUAUGAGCUUUGUAACUGAUACACGAAACAGAAGGAACUAAUCCAUACUCUCCAGUCGAGUACCAUUAAUGUUUUGUAAAGAGGGCUGCUGCAUGACACGUGCAAUUUUUUAAUUUCCUCUGAAUUCAAAAGACCCAGAGUUAAUGAAUACAUUUUAAUGAAUUCCAGAAAGAUUUUUCGAGCUCCUUUGGAUUGUGAAAAAAUUGUUUGUUAUCUUGUCCGCUGUUGUUUUAUUUCAUUGACAG
ensembl:lncRNA